GACGAACGCUGGCGGCGUGCCUAAUACAUGCAAGUAGAACGCAGUUGCGAACGGGUGAGUAAUGCGUAGGUAACUGCCUCAUAGCGGGGGAUACCUCUUGGAAACGAUAGCUAAAACCGCAUACUGUGAGAUGGACCUGCGUUGUAUUAGGUAGUUGGUGAGGUAAAUGCUCACCAAGGCCACGAUACAUAGCCGGCCUGAGAGGGUGAUCGACCAAACUGGGAAUGAAACACUGCCCAGGCACCGUCGGGAAGCAGCAGUAGGGAAACAUCGGCAAUUGAGGGAAAUCUGGCCGAGCAACUGCGGGGGGGAGAAGAAGGUUUUCGGGGCGUAAAGCUCUUUUGUUAGAGGAGCGUUAACUAACGAGAAAGGAACGGCUAACUACGUGCCAGCAGCCGCGGUAAUAC
rnacentral:rRNA from 1 species